GAUGAACGCUGGCGGCGUGCCUAAUACAUGCAAGUCGAGCGAACAGACGAGGAGCUUGCUCCUCUGACGUUAGCGGCGGACGGGUGAGUAACACGUGGAUAACCUACCUAUAAGACUGGGAUAACGACGGGAAACCGGAGCUAAUACCGGAUAUUAUAUUGAACCGCAUGGUUCAAUAGUGAAAGACGGUUUUGCUGUCACUUAUAGAUGGAUCCGCGCCGCAUUAGCUAGUUGGUAAGGUAACGGCUUACCAAGGCGACGAUGCGUAGCCGACCUGAGAGGGUGAUCGGCCACACUGGAACUGAGACACGGUCCAGACUCCUACGGGAGGCAGCAGUAGGGAAUCUUCCGCAAUGGGCGAAAGCCUGACGGAGCAACGCCGCGUGAGUGAUGAAGGUCUUCGGAUCGUAAAGCUCUGUUAUUAGGGAAGAACAAAUGUGUGAGUAACUCUGCACGUCUUGACGGUACCUAAUCAGAAAGCCCCGGCUAACUACGUG
rnacentral:rRNA from 1 species